rnacentral:rRNA from 1 species
AGUGAACGCUGGCGGUAGGCCUAACACAUGCAAGUCGAACGGCAGCACAGUAAGAGCUUGCUCUUACGGGUGGCGAGUGGCGGACGGGUGAGGAAUACAUCGGAAUCUACUUUUUCGUGGGGGAUAACGUAGGGAAACUUACGCUAAUACCGCAUACGACCUACGGGUGAAAGCAGGGGAUCUUCGGACCUUGCGCGAUUGAAUGAGCCGAUGUCGGAUUAGCUCGUUGGCGGGGUAAAGGCCCACCAAGGCGACGAUCCGUAGCUGGUCUGAGAGGAUGACCAGCCACACUGGAACUGAGACACGGUCCAGACUCCUACGGGAGGCAGCAGUGGGGAAUAUUGGACAAUGGGCGCAAGCCUGAUCCAGCCAUACCGCGUGGGUGAAGAAGGACUUCGGGUUGUAAAGCCCUUUUGUUGGGAAAGAAAAUCAGCAGGUUAAUACCCCGCUGUUCUGACGGUACCCAAAGAAUAAGCACCGGCUAACUUCGUG